rnacentral:rRNA from 1 species
AUACGUAGGGUGCGAGCGUUGUCCGGAAUUACUGGGCGUAAAGAGCUCGUAGGUGGUUUGUCGCGUCGUCUGUGAAAUUCCGGGGCUUAACUCCGGGCGUGCAGGCGAUACGGGCAUAACUUGAGUACUGUAGGGGAGACUGGAAUUCCUGGUGUAGCGGUGAAAUGCGCAGAUAUCAGGAGGAACACCGGUGGCGAAGGCGGGUCUCUGGGCAGUAACUGACGCUGAGGAGCGAAAGCAUGGGUAGCGAACAGGAUUAGAUACCCUGGUAGUCCAUGCCGUAACCGGUGGGCGCUAGGUGUAGGGGUCUUCCACGACUUCUGUGCCGUAGCUAACGCAUUAAGCGCCCCGCCUGGGGAGUACGGCCGCAAGGCUAAAACUCAAAUGAAUUGACGGGG